GACGAACGCUGGCGGCGUGCCUAAUACAUGCAAGUAGAACGCACAGUUUAUACCGUAGCUUGCUACACCAUAGACUGUGAGUUGCGAACGGGUGAGUAACGCGUAGGUAACCUGCCUGGUAGCGGGGGAUAACUAUUGGAAACGAUAGCUAAUACCGCAUAAUAUUAAUUAUUGCAUGAUAAUUAAUUGAAAGGUGCAAUUGCACCACUACCAGAUGGACCUGCGUUGUAUUAGCUAGUAGGUGAGGUAACGGCUCACCUAGGCGACGAUACAUAGCCGACCUGAGAGGGUGAUCGGCCACACUGGGACUGAGACACGGCCCAGACUCCUACGGGAGGCAGCAGUAGGGAAUCUUCGGCAAUGGACGAAAGUCUGACCGAGAAACGCCGCGUGAGUGAAGAAGGUUUUCGGAUCGUAAAGCUCUGUUGUAAGAGAAGAACGGGUGUGAGAGUGGAAAGUUCACACUGUGACGGUAACUUACCAGAAAGGGACGGCUAACUACGUG
rnacentral:rRNA from 1 species